rnacentral:rRNA from 1 species
UUCACCGAAUGCUUGCAUUCACCGAAAGAAGCUUAGUGGCGAACGGGUGAGUAACACGUAGGCAACCUGCCCAAAAGAGGGGGAUAACACUUGGAAACAGGUGCUAAUACCGCAUAACCAUGAACACCGCAUGAUGUUCAUGUAAAAGACGGCUUUUGCUGUCACUUUUGGAUGGGCCUGCGGCGUAUUAACUUGUUGGUGGGGUAACGGCCUACCAAGGUGAUGAUACGUAGCCGAACUGAGAGGUUGAUCGGCCACAUUGGGACUGAGACACGGCCCAAACUCCUACGGGAGGCAGCAGUAGGGAAUCUUCCACAAUGGACGAAAGUCUGAUGGAGCAACGCCGCGUGAAUGAAGAAGGCCUUCGGGUCGUAAAAUUCUGUUGUCAGAGAAGAACGUGCGUGAGAGUAACUGUUCACGUAUUGACGGUAUCUGACCAGAAAGCCACGGCUAACUACGUGCCAGCAGCCGCGGUAAUACGUAGGUGGCGAGCGUUGUCCGGAUUUAUUGGGCGUAAAGGGAACGCAGGCGGUCUUUUAAGUCUGAUGUGAAAGCCUUCGGCUUAACCGAAGUAGUGCAUUGGAAACUGGAAGACUUGAGUGCAGAAGAGGAGAGUGGAACUCCAUGUGUAGCGGUGAAAUGCGUAGAUAUAUGGAAGAACACCAGUGGCGAAAGCGGCUCUCUGGUCUGUAACUGACGCUGAGGUUCGAAAGCGUGGGUAGCAAACAGGAUUAGAUACCCUGGUAGUCCACGCCGUAAACGAUGAGUGCUAAGUGUUGGAGGGUUUCCGCCCUUCAGUGCUGCAGCUAACGCAUUAAGCACUCCGCCUGGGGAGUACGGUCGCAAGACUGAAACUCAAAGGAAUUGACGGGGGCCCGCACAAGCGGUGGAGCAUGUGGUUUAAUUCGAAGCAACGCGAAGAACCUUACCAGGUCUUGACAUCUUCUGACAAUUCCAGAGAUGGAACGUUCCCUUCGGGGACAGAAUGACAGGUGGUGCAUGGUUGUCGUCAGCUCGUGUCGUGAG